rnacentral:rRNA from 1 species
GAAUAUUGGACAAUGGGCGAAAGCCUGAUCCAGCCAUGCCGCGUGUGUGAAGAAGGUCUUCGGGUUGUAAAGCACUUUUGGCAGGGAAGAAAAGGUUCUGGCUAAUACCCGGAACUGCUGACGGUACCUGCAGAAUAAGCACCGGCUACCUACGUGCCAGCAGCCGCGGUAAUACGUAGGGUGCAAGAGUUAAUCGGAAUUACUGGGCGUAAAGCGUGCGCAGGCGGUUUGGCAAGAAGGAUGUGAAAUCCCAGGGCUUAACCUUGGAACUGUAUUCUUAACUGCCAGGCUAGAGUAUGUCAGAGGGGGGUAGAAUUCCGCGUGUAGCAGUGAAAUGCGUAGAGAUGCGGAGGAAUACCGAUGGCGAAGGCAGCCCCCUGGGAUAAUACUGACGCUCAUGCACGAAAGCGUGGGGAGCAAACAG